UUGAGAAAGUCAUGGUGGCUAUGGUGUUGGCUUGAAACCAGUUUUAGGGGGUUCGACUCCCUCCUUUC
rnacentral:tRNA from 1 species